AGGUAAGCAAGGGCAAUCAAUUCACCCUUGCCCUCCGAAGGCAAAGGUCACACGUUCGAAUCGUGUCGGGUGCGCCA
rnacentral:tRNA from 1 species